UACGUAGGGACCGAGCGUUGUCCGGAUUUAUUGGGCGUAAAGAGCUCGUAGGCGGUUCGGUAAGUCGGGUGUGAAAACUCUGGGCUCAACCCAGAGCCGCCACCCGAUACUACUGUGACUUGAGUUCGGUAGGGGAGCGGGGAAUUCCUGGUGUAGCGGUGAAAUGCGCAGAUAUCAGGAGGAACACCAGUGGCGAAGGCGCCGCUCUGGGCCGAGACUGACGCUGAGGAGCGAAAGCGUGGGUAGCAAACAGG
rnacentral:rRNA from 1 species